AAGGUGUCAUAUGCAACAGCCAUGGAUUGGUUCAUUGCUGUAUGCUUUGCUUUC
rfam:Cavia porcellus supercont2_17 genomic scaffold, whole genome shotgun sequence.